UGGGGAAUAUUGGACAAUGGGCGCAAGCCUGAUCCAGCAAUGCCGCGUGUGUGAAGAAGGCCUUCGGGUUGUAAAGCACUUUUAUCAGGAGCGAAACGCUGUCGGCUAAUACCCGGCGGAACUGACGGUACCUGAGGAAUAAGCACCGGCUAACUUCGUGCCAGCAGCCGCGGUAAUACGAAGGGUGCAAGCGUUAAUCGGAAUUACUGGGCGUAAAGCGUGCGUAGGCGGUUUCUUAAGUCUGCUGUGAAAUCCCCGGGCUCAACCUGGGAAUGGCAGUGGAUACUGGGAGGCUAGAGUGUGUCAGAGGGUGGUGGAAUUCCCGGUGUAGCGGUGAAAUGCGUAGAGAUCGGGAGGAACAUCAGUGGCGAAGGCGGCCACCUGGGACAACACUGACGCUGAGGCACGAAAGCGUGGGGAGCAAACAGGAUUAGAUACCCUGGUAGUCCACGCCCUAAAAGCGAUGCGAACUGGAUGUUGGUCUCAACUCGGAGAUCAGUGUCGAAGCUAACGCGUUAAGUUCGCCGCCUGGGGAGUACGGUCGCAAGACUGAAACUCAAAUGAAUUGACGGGGUCAUAGCUGUUUCC
rnacentral:rRNA from 1 species